GAGUCAGACUGUGGGUGAUAAGAUUCAUAGUCGAAAGGGCAACAGCCCAGAUCGUCAGCUAAGGUCCCUAAAUGUACGUUAAGUGGUAAAGGAUGUGGGAUUGCACAGACAACCAGGAUGUUGGCUUAGAAGCAGCCACUCAUUUAAAGAGUGCGUAAUAGCUCACUGGUCGAGUGAUCCUGCGCCGAAAAUUUCCGGGGCUAAAACGUACUACCGAAGCUACGGCAUCAUUAUGAUGGGUAGGGGAGCUUCGUAUGCAGGCUGAAGCGUGACCGUAAGGACGCGUGGACAGUAUACGAGUGAGAAUGUUGGCAUGAGUAGCGAGACGUGGGUGAGAAUCCCACGGGCCGUAAACCCAAGGUUUCCAGGGGAAGGUUCGUCCGCCCUGGGUUAGUCGGGACCUAAGCCGAGGCCGAAAGGCGUAGGUGAUGGACAACAGGUUGAUAUUCCUGUACCGCCAAUAAACGCUUGAGAAAUGGGAUGACACAGUAGGAUAAGCUAACCACACUGUUGGUUAUGUGUGGCUAAGUACUGAGGCAGUCGAGAUAGGCAAAUCCGUCUUGAUAUUAAUGCUAGGGUACGAUGGGGAGCGAAAUUUAGUAGCGAAGUAGCUGAUUUCACACUGUCAAGAAAAGUCUCUAUCGAGUUUAAAGGCGCCCGUACCUCAAACCGACACAGGUGGGUGAGGAGAGUAUCCUAAGGCCAGCGAGAGAACUAUUGUUAAGGAACUCGGCAAAAUGACCCCGUAACUUAGGGAGAAGGGGUGCCAUCAUUACGAUGGCCGCAGAGAAUAGGCCCAAGCGACUGUUUACCAAAAACACAGGUUUCUGCUAAGUCGCAAGACGAUGUAUAGGAGCUGACGCCUGCCCGGUGCUGGAAGGUUAAGGGGAUCUGUUAGAGCAAUCGAAGCAGUGAACUUAAGCCCCAGUAAACGGCGGCCGUAACUAUAACGGUCCUAAGGUAGCGAAAUUCCUUGUCGGGUAAGUUCCGACCCGC
rnacentral:rRNA from 1 species